GUGCUGGGAAGAGAUUGCUGCGUUCGACUACAGAAAGUGUAGCUUAGUGUUAUCUAAAAGAUUUUCAACGUCAUGGCUGCAUGUUUAGCUGAUUUCGACAAUGUGGAAAAGAGAUUUCACAGCAAGACUUCUCCUUGAGCGAGACUUGGUUACACACACUAACAACACACAUCAGUAAAAGUGUACACAGUGAUUAUCUGAGCUUUGAGACUGAACCAAAACCGUAAACUUGUGGCCUGGAAAAGAUAAGAUGCUAAAACACUCUGUGGAGCUGAGGGGAACUGCAGUCAGAAGCUCAAACCUGCACAAACGACUUUCCCAAUGCCCGAAUAACAGGGACCAACUAAUCUAGAUCAUCUCGGCUCCAUUUACAACAAAUGGGACUGUCACGCACGGCCCUAUUCUGGCCUCAUUUUUGGUGUUUGGGGAUUUCUGCACCCUGAGGAUUCACCUGUCAUGUGGCUAUAGAGAAAUUAGGGUCAUCUCAAAGAAGAAUAUGUACAAAAUUUUAAGAACUGUCAAUACUGUGAAUAGCUAUUUGUCAAAAAUAUGUAAAUUUUGAAUAUUAUAAUAUUUGAAAUGCCAGAAUUUUCUUUUAAAAUCCUCUGUACCUGUGCUCAACUCUGUCAACAGCUCCUGGUCAAAUAGCAUGUCAUAGCCUUUUUCUAUUUUACAGAUAGUAGCCUGCUGUUACUGGGUGUGUCCAGUUUAAACCACAUGAUGUCAUCUACCCUAAUCCAGUUGUUUUGAUCCAAAGAUGGAGGUCACACCCAUGAGUAAGCAAUACAAACAACAGUCACCUUGUCAGCCACAAAGUCUGCAUAAAGAAAAACAACUGAAGGGACCAGAUUUUAGAGAUAAAAUCAAGACACAUUAAACAGCUGCAUUAAAGUUAGAUAUGAUGUCAUUUUAUAAGCAAAACCGGGAAAAUGCAGUGCACCCUAUUCUGUUCUAACUGAUCAUAAUAACCCUAAAAUCACAGCUUGCACAUGAAGAGCCCGUUUUCCUCUGAGCAUCACCGAGCUGCAGACUCUGCAAGAGAAAAAAACAAAACACAAAGGUCCCUGUGACUCACCUCUGUUUGU